rnacentral:rRNA from 1 species
CCUACGGGUGGCAGCAGUGGGGAAUAUUGCACAAUGGGCGAAACCCUGAUGCAGCGACGCCGCGUGAAGGAUGAAGGUCUUCGGUAUGUAAAACUCUAUUAGUAGGGAAGAAAAUGAGUGUACGUGACUAUGCAGCUCCGGCUAAUUACGGGCCAGCAGCCGCGGUAAAACGUAGGGGGCACGCGUUAUCCGGAAUUACUGGGGUGAAAGGGAGCGUAGGUGGUUUUGCAAGUCAGAAGUGAAAGCCCGGGGGUCAACUGCGGGAGUGCUUUUGAAACGGGUGAACUAGAGUGCAGGAGAGGUAAGUGGAAUUCCUUGUGUAGCGGUGAAAUGCGUAGAUAUAAGGAGGAACACCAGUGGCGAAGGCGGCUUACUGGACUGUAAAUGACGCUGACGCUCGAAAGCGUGGGGAGCAAACAGGAUUAGAUACCCCUGUAGUC